GUACCCUUAGAUAAGACUUGAGUAGAAUGAUCCCAAUGUUUCUUCCAGUUAUCACACAUUCUUUUUUUAAGACAACUAUGAAUAUCUGUGAAAGGAAUUCCAACUUCAAAAUAUGGGACAGAACCCGCACUAUAAUUUGUUAUCAUGGUUGCUAAAUGGUCAGCUUUUUCAUUGCCCAAUAUGCCAAUGUGGGAUGGAACCCAAACUAGUACAAUAUUUACAUGACAAACUACAUUCAAAUAAUACAAAAGUUGUUUUAUACUAUACACUAAAUAAUUUACAUUUGUUUUAUUUACAUUAUUUUCAAGACUUUUUAAUAGGCUCAUACAAUCAGUGGCAAUAACCCACUUUGAACAAGUAUUUUUAUGCUUAUCUAUAUGUUGCAAUGCAGACAGAACUGCAACAGCUUCAGCAGAAUAUAUGCUCAAGUUGUUAUCAAGUUUAUAUCCAAGUCCAUCUUUCAGGACACUAUCAUAAACAGCAAAAGAUGUGCAUAUAUCAUUUUUAGCCCCAUCUGUAUAAAUGAAUCUAUGAUCUCGCCAAGAAAAAAAUUUUUCAUAUACUUGUUCUUUUCUAUGUAAUUCAGAAUCUAUUACUAUAUUUAUAUCAGGGUAUUUACUUUCAAAUUCACCUUGAUAACAAGGAAAAUGGGAUUCAUUUCGCUGAAUAUGUGCAUCAUGAAGAAAUUGAAGAAACCCAGAUAUAUUUUCAAGAACAAAUGGACAUUUAUUGAAGAAAGUAGAAGAAGCAGAUGACAAAUAAUUAAGAUAAUGAAGUUGUGAAUAAAACACCAAGAAACUUAGCCUCUAACGACAGAACCAAUGGUAAGUUGUUGUAUACUACGGGAGGAAUAGAAGAAUGUUUACCAAAAACCAAAACUUUUGAUUUGGCCGCAUUAACUUCAAGUUUUAAGUAACUAAAAUAUUCAUGUAACUUUGUUAAAGCUAAAUUUAUAUCAGCAAUCACUUGCUGGAUAUUUUUCCCACUAGCGUAUAUUACUAAAUCAUCUGCAAACUGUAAGUUUUUUAUAUUAGUGCCUAAUAUUUCAUUUAAUCUGUGUAUAUACAAAAGAAAUAACAGGGGUGACAAUAUUCCUCCUUGACAAACACCUGUUGAAGAAGACAUAGGACCAUAAAUUUUACCAUUAUAUUUAGCAUAAACCUUUCUAUUUAGUAAGAAAUUAUGAACCCAAUUUACAAUUUUGACAGGUAUACCUAAACCACACAGUUCUUUGAAGAGGACAUCAAUAUCAACACUGUUAAAUGCUCCAGAAAUAUCAAAAAAUACAGCAACAAGACAAUCUUUAUUUACAACACUAUUACAAAUAUCUAAAUGCAAUUGACAGAAGCUUUCAUGUGCAGAUUUACCUUUACGAAAACCAUACUGAUUGUCAGAUAUUAAAUUAUAUUUUUCAACAAAAAAUUCCAAUCUUUGUUUUAACAACUGUUCAAAAAGUUUACCCACGCAUGAAGUGAGAGUUAUUGGGCGAUAAGAAUUAGCAUUGUAUUUAGGUUUUUGAGGUUUUAAUACAGAUCAAAGACAAUGGUGUUGAGCGAUUGAAUGAUUCACAAAGACGGACCCAACUGUUAUGUUUUUCUAUUUUUAAUGUAAGUUUUUUAAAAGCUUGUUGUUUUUUAAAGUUUAUAUAAUUUUCUUGUGAUGGACAAUUUUUAAACUUCACA